rnacentral:rRNA from 1 species
GAUGAACGCUGGCGGCGUGCCUAAUACAUUCAAGUCGCGCGAACGGACGCGAAUCUUGCUUCUCUGAUGUUAGCGGCGGACGUGUGAGUCACACGUGGCUAACCUACCUUUCUGACUGGGAUCACUUCGGGAAUCCGUAUCUAAUACCGUAUAAUAUUUUGAACCGCAUUGUUCAAAUGUGAAAUACGGUCUUUCUGUCACUUAUAGAUGCUUCCGCGCUGCAGUAGCUAUUUGUUAAGGUAACGGGUUUCCAAGUCAACGAUGCCUAUACGACCUGAGAGGGUGAUAGGCCACACGGGAACUGAGACACGGACAAGAGUACUGAGGGAGGCAGCAGUAGGGAAUGGUCGGCAAUGGGCGAAAGUCUGACGGAGCAACGGGAAGUCAGUGAUGAAAGUCUUCGGAUCGGAAAAAUCUGUUAUUAGGGAAGAACAGAUGUGGAAGGAAAUGUGCACAGCGUGACGGUAACGAAUAAGAAAGCCACGGCUAACUACGUG